rnacentral:rRNA from 1 species
CUUUGCCUACGGGACGCAGCAGUGGGGGAUAUUGCACAAUGGGGGAAACCCUGAUGCAGCGACGCCGCGUGAGUGAAGAAGUAUUUCGGUAUGUAAAGCUCUAUCAGCAGGGAAGAAAAAAGACGGUACCUGACUAAGAGGCCCCGGCUAACUACGUGCCAGCAGCCGCGGUAAUACGUAGGGGGCAAGCGUUAUCCGGAUUUACUGGGUGUAAAGGGAGCGUAGACGGUUAAGUAAGUCUGGAGUGAAAGGCCGGGGCCCAACCCCGGGACUGCUCUGGAAACUAUUGAACUUGAGUGCAGGAG